rnacentral:pre_miRNA from 1 species
AAUCUACUCCCUUCGUCCGGAAAUACUUAUCAUUGAAAUAGAUGUAUCUAGAUGUAUUUUAGUUCUAGAUACAUUCAUUUUCAUCUAUUUUGAUGACAAGUAUUUUCAGACGGAGGGAGUACUCU